rnacentral:rRNA from 1 species
GUCUAUGGCCAUGCUACCCUGAACAAGCCUGAUCCUGUCUGAUCGUGGAAGCUAAGCAGGGUCAGGCCUGGUUAGUACUUGGAUAGGAGACCAACUAGGAAGAUCAGAUGCUGUAGGUG